rnacentral:lncRNA from 1 species
CGCUCAUAUCAUCUUUAUAUUUAUAGAGUAAUCUCAAGUGGAUCCUCUUGAUAAAAACAGUCUCAUUUGGGUCCAAAUUUUUCAAAAAAUGAGCCAAUUAAACCUUUUCUAUUAAGUCAUGACAAACGACGUUAAACUGUGAUGACGUGUUGCAUACUUAAUAAACUGAUGUAAAAGUGUUUUAUUAUGUGGAGUUUUUUUUUUUUAAAUUAAGAAUUUUUGAUGUGGUAAAAUUUAUUCCUAAUCAAACUAAGGAAUUUGUUCCUAAUCCAACCUUUCAAAGACUCAUCCAAAUCUGGUCAGACUCCCUCCAUCACCCACUCCACUGGCUUAUUCCCCCACCUUCACCCAUUCCUAAUCCCUAAUCCCUUCCCUCCAAGGACCAAAUCCUUCUCGCAACAAUCACUCUAUAUUGGACCU